rnacentral:rRNA from 1 species
AGUGAACGCUGGCGGUAGGCCUAACACAUGCAAGUCGAACGGCAGCACAGUAAGAGCUUGCUCUUACGGGUGGCGAGUGGCGGACGGGUGAGGAAUACAUCGGAAUCUACUUUUUCGGGGGGGAUAACGUAGGGAAAGUUACGAUAAUACCGCAUACGACCUACGGGUGAAAGCAGGGGAUCUUCGGACCUUGCGCGAUUGAAUGAGCCGAUGUCGGAUUAGCUAGUUGGCGGGGUAAAGGCCCACCAAGGCGACGAUCCGUAGCUGGUCUGAGAGGAUGAUCAGCCACACUGGAACUGAGACACGGUCCAGACUCCUACGGGAGGCAGCAGUGGGGAAUAUUGGACAAUGGGCGCAAGCCUGAUCCAGCCAUACCGCGUGGGUGAAGAAGGCCUUCGGGUUGUAAAGCCCUUUUGUUGGGAAAGAAAAGCAGCAGGUUAAUACCCCGCUGUUCUGACGGUACCCAAAGAAUAAGCACCGGCUAACUUCGUG